rnacentral:rRNA from 1 species
GGAAUUGCUAGUAAUCGUAGGUCAGCAUACUACGGUGAAUACGUUCCCGGGCCUUGUACACACCGCCCGUCAAACCAUGAGAGUUGGCAACACCCGAAGUCGGUAGUCUAACCGCAAGGAGGACGCCGCCGAAGGUGGGGUUGAUGAUUAGGGUUAAGUCGUAACAAGGUACC